GCUGACGUAGCUCAACGGGCAGAGCGUCGGAUUUGUAAUCCGGAGGUUGUGGGUUCGAGUCCCACCGUCAGCUCCA
rnacentral:tRNA from 1 species